GGCAUCAAACGGUGAGACUAUCCUUCAGCUCCUUCCUGAGUGGCACUGGUAUUAGUCAUUAGAGGAGAGAUGACGUUGAAUAAGGACUAGAAGGUUAAAGUUCAAGGCUGGCCUAUGGGAGGUGACCCUUUGUGAUCCCCCACUUCCUGGUCAGCCACGGAGUGUUUCGCUCCACAGUGGGCACGCAGUGUCUACCAAACAAGGAGUGUAUUGUGCGAGCAUGCAGCCUGCGUUGGAGCGGCACCAAGACUGUGUUGGCAAGGAUGUGGCCUUUAGUGCGCGAUAAAGAUCUAAAAGCCUUGUUUGAUCAAUCCUGGGUUCACUGGCGAAGUGAUAUUUUCUGUAUUUGUAAAUCCAUUCAUUACAAUUAUGAGAAAUGUCAUGUUUUUACUUAAUAUUUGUUUCAACAGUUGCCCAAAAGUUUGUGUGGAGGUGACGUAUUGAUGGACCCAGGACUGCAGUACGAGUGCACGCGCAUAACACAGGCUGGGUUUGGCACCAGCGCUGGCAGUGACCCUCGCAUGGAGGAUAACACGAAAGAAGCAGGUUGUUUAAUACUUUCCAGAUUGCAGCAUGCCUUUGGCCUCCUGGAAGAGCAUCAAGUCUGCUGAUGGAAUUUGGUGGAAAAGGUGGUGGGUCCAGGCAGGGGCUCCUGACAUAAUAAACCCAAAGGCAAUGAGCGCCUCCCAUUGGUGGCUUGAGUAAGAGGUAUACAUUUUCUUUUUUUUGAAUGGACUUGGAAACCAAAGGGAAAUGACAUCUGACAGCCUCUGAAGCUGGUGAGAAUAUACAUCCAGGGUGUGUGAGAGGAAGAAACAGCUGCGAGACAG